rnacentral:hammerhead_ribozyme from 1 species
AUCUAUCUGACGAGUCCCAAAUAGGACGAAACGCGCGUCAAACUGGGU